rnacentral:rRNA from 1 species
GGAACUGCAUUCGAAACUGGCAGGCUAGAGUCUUGUAGAGGGGGGUAGAAUUCCAGGUGUAGCGGUGAAAUGCGUAGAGAUCUGGAGGAAUACCGGUGGCGAAGGCGGCCCCCUGGACAAAGACUGACGCUCAGGUGCGAAAGCGUGGGGAGCAAACAGGAUUAGAUACCCUGGUAGUCCACGCCGUAAACGAUGUCGAUUUGGAGGUUGUGCCCUUGAGGCGUGGCUUCCGGAGCUAACGCGUUAAAUCGACCGCCUGGGGAGUACGGCCGCAAGGUUAAAACUCAAAUGAAUUGACGGGGGCCCGCACAAGCGGUGGAGCAUGUGGUUUAAUUCGAUGCAACGCGAAGAACCUUACCUG